rnacentral:rRNA from 1 species
UCCGGUGAUGAUGGCAUAGAGGAUCCACCUGUUCCCAUUCCGAACACAGAAGUUAAGCUCUAUUACGCCGAAAGUACUUGUCGGGACACCGACCGGGAGGAUAGGAAGUUGCCGGAU